rnacentral:rRNA from 3 species
GUCAUGCCAAUGGCACUGCCCGGUAGCUAAAUGCGGAAGAGAUAAGUGCUGAAAGCAUCUAAGCACGAAACUUGCCCCGAGAUGAGUUCUCCCUGAGACUAUAAGUCUCCUGAAGGAACGUUAAAGACGAUGACGUUGAUAGGCCGGGUGUGUAAGCGCAGCGAUGCGUUGAGCUAACCGGUACUAAUGAACCGUGAGGCUUAACCUUACAACGCCGAAG